rnacentral:lncRNA from 1 species
GGGGGAGGUUAGAGAGGGGGGUAAUGGUGUCCAAUCUAAAAGGCCACCCCAACUCAUAGAAAACAUUAUCAACCCUCUUUUAAGACCGGAUAGGGUCUAACAUAUUGGGUACUAAGCUUACCCCUUUCUUACCAAACUGCAUCAGUCCCUUUAUGAGAGAAACCUUCAAGAAUACCCAAUCACACAUACUAAACUCUAAGCUCCUAUGCCAUAUGUCAACAUAGGAUUUUUUGGCAACUUUGAGUGGUUUUCAACCCCUCACAAAUCACCUUCACCUUUUUCUAAGGCACGGUAAACUAAACUGGGGUCAAGCAACGUACCCUUAGCAACCUCAUACCAUCAAAUGGGAGAACAAUAUCCCCCACUAUAUAAAGCCUUAAAAGGAACCCUAAAUCUUCCCCUCUUAGGGACUUCUACAUUUCCUAUUCCAACA